ACGCCGGCGGUGUGCCUAAUACAUGCAAGUCGAACGCGUUGGCCCAAUUGAUUGAUGGUGCUUGCACCUGAUUGAUUUUGGUCGCCAACGAGUGGCGGACGGGUGAGUAACACGUAGGUAACCUGCCCAGAAGCGGGGGACAACAUUUGGAAACAGAUGCUAAUACCGCAUAACAGCGUUGUUCGCAUGAACAACGCUUAAAAGAUGGCUUCUCGCUAUCACUUCUGGAUGGACCUGCGGUGCAUUAGCUUGUUGGUGGGGUAACGGCCUACCAAGGCGAUGAUGCAUAGCCGAGUUGAGAGACUGAUCGGCCACAAUGGGACUGAGACACGGCCCAUACUCCUACGGGAGGCAGCAGUAGGGAAUCUUCCACAAUGGGCGCAAGCCUGAUGGAGCAACACCGCGUGAGUGAAGAAGGGUUUCGGCUCGUAAAGCUCUGUUGUUAAAGAAGAACACGUAUGAGAGUAACUGUUCAUACGUUGACGGUAUUUAACCAGAAAGUCACGGCUAACUACGUGCCAGCAGCCGCGGUAAUACGUAGGUGGCAAGCGUUAUCCGGAUUUAUUGGGCGUAAAGAGAGUGCAGGCGGUUUUCUAAGUCUGAUGUGAAAGCCUUCGGCUUAACCGGAGAAGUGCAUCGGAAACUGGAUAACUUGAGUGCAGAAGAGGGUAGUGGAACUCCAUGUGUAGCGGUGGAAUGCGUAGAUAUAUGGAAGAACACCAGUGGCGAAGGCGGCUACCUGGUCUGCAACUGACGCUGAGACUCGAAAGCAUGGGUAGCGAACAGGAUUAGAUACCCUGGUAGUCCAUGCCGUAAACGAUGAGUGCUAGGUGUUGGAGGGUUUCCGCCCUUCAGUGCCGGAGCUAACGCAUUAAGCACUCCGCCUGGGGAGUACGACCGCAAGGUUGAAACUCAAAGGAAUUGACGGGGGCCCGCACAAGCGGUGGAGCAUGUGGUUUAAUUCGAAGCUACGCGAAGAACCUUACCAGGUCUUGACAUCUUGCGCCAACCCUAGAGAUAGGGCGUUUCCUUCGGGAACGCAAUGACAGGUGGUGCAUGGUCGUCGUCAGCUCGUGUCGUGAGAUGUUGGGUUAAGUCCCGCAACGAGCGCAACCCUUGUUACUAGUUGCCAGCAUUAAGUUGGGCACUCUAGUGAGACUGCCGGUGACAAACCGGAGGAAGGUGGGGACGACGUCAGAUCAUCAUGCCCCUUAUGACCUGGGCUACACACGUGCUACAAUGGACGGUACAACGAGUCGCGAACUCGCGAGGGCAAGCAAAUCUCUUAAAACCGUUCUCAGUUCGGACUGCAGGCUGCAACUCGCCUGCACGAAGUCGGAAUCGCUAGUAAUCGCGGAUCAGCAUGCCGCGGUGAAUACGUUCCCGGGCCUUGUACACACCGCCCGUCACACCAUGAGAGUUUGUAACACCCAAAGUCGGUGGGGUAACCUUUUAGGAGCCAGCCGCCUAAGGUGGGACAGAUGAUUAGGGGAAGUCG
rnacentral:rRNA from 1 species